CCUGCCGGCGAGUGCGAACGGGUAGUAACAUAUCGGAACGUGCCCAGGAGUGGGGGAUAGCCCGGCGAAAGCCGGAUUAAUACCGCAUACGGACCUGAGGGUGAAAGUGGGGGACCGCAAGGCCUCACGCCCCUGGAGCGGCCGAUAUCUGAUUAGCUAGUUGGUGGGGUAAAGGCUCACCAAGGCGACGAUCAGUAGCUGGUCUGAGAGGACAACCAACCACACUAGGACUGAGACACGGCCCAGACUCCUACGGGAGGCAGCAGUGGGGAAUUUUGGACAAUGGGGGCAACCCUGAUCCAGCAAUACCGCGUGUGUGAAGAAGGCCUUCGGGUUGUAAAGCACUUUUGGCGGGGAAGAAAGCGGUCUGGCGAAUACCUGGCCUGGAUGCGG
rnacentral:rRNA from 1 species